rnacentral:lncRNA from 1 species
GAUUGGGUUUGGUCAGAGAAAGGUAGAGACGGCAACGAUAGUGAUCGAAGAAGAACGGCAAGCACAAUCGGGAGUGGACGACAGAGGAGAGGAGAUGAGGUGGAUGGCAAGCCGGCGGUGGUGCGGAUCUCGAUCUAGAUCUAGAUCGAGGGGGUGAGUGGUGUGGGAGUGGACUGGGACGGUUGGUGGGGUGAAAGGGUGGGAGGUGUGGGAUCGAAGUGACAUGCUUAACCGUAGCGUGGGGUAUCUCACCUGCGCUACAACUAUUACUUAGUAGUAGCGCAGGUCUUACAACCCACGCUACUACUAAUUAAGGUCUGUCCGCGGGGCACUAUUAAAAAUAUUUACUAGUAGCGUGUUUUUUGGGUCACGCGUUACCGGUAUUAUUUACUAGUAGCGCUCGUUAAUAUAGCGCUACUAGUAAGCGAUUACCAAUAACAUUUUUUUCUAGUAGUGUUGUGUCCUGCUCACGAAGAUAAGACGGUGACGGCUCCCUGAAGUUGGAAUAAUGUUCUUUCUGUCUAGCCCCGUCUCGGUGGUGUGUUUAGCAUCGUCGAUGAACGUGUAGAGGUGGGUCUUCGGUGGAUCUGUCCUUGGUAAAUUUGCUUGAAUCUGGUCGUAAUUCGUUCACGUUUGUGUCUCUUCACGUUGAAUCUUUCCGAUCUACAUCACUCUUGAACGACGACGGUUGCUAUUCUAGUGUGCUGGUCCUAUGUGCCUUACCACGACGACUUACCGACUAUCUACUAUAAUAAGUUUUGUUCGGUUUCG